GAUGAAGAACGUAGCGAAAUGCGAUAAGUAAUGUGAAUUGCAGAAUUCAGUGAAUCAUCGAAUCUUUGAACGCACAUUGCGCCCGCCAGCAUUCUGGCGGGCAUGCCUGUUCGAGCGUCAUUUCAACCCUCGAGCCCCCCCGGGGGCCUCGGUGUUGGGGGACGGCACACCAGCCGCCCCCGAAAUGCAGUGGCGACCCCGCCGCAGCCUCCCCUGCGUAGUAGCACACACCUCGCACCGGAGCGCGGAGGCGGUCACGCCGUAAAACGCCCAACUUCCUUAGAGUUGACCUCGGAUCAGGUAGGAAUACCCGCUGAACUUAAGCAUAUCAAUAAGCGGAGGA
rnacentral:misc_RNA from 1 species